UACGAAGGGCCCGAGCGUUAAUCGGAAUCACUGGGCUUAAAGCGUACGCAGGCGGAUGCGCAGGCAUCUUGUGAAAUACCUCCGCUCAACGGAGGAACUGCAGGGUGAACCGCGUGUCUUGAGUCAGGUAGGGGCUGUCGGAACGCUCGGUGGAGUGGUGAAAUGCGUUGAUAUCGAGCGGAACGCCGAAGGAGAAAUCAGGCAGCUGGGCCUGUACUGACGCUGAGGUACGAAAGCGUGGGGAGCGAACGGGAUUAGAUACCCUCGUA
rnacentral:rRNA from 1 species